rnacentral:rRNA from 1 species
CACGUAGGGGGGCGAGCGUUGUCCGGAUUUAUUGGGCGUAAAGAGCUCGUAGGCGGUCUGUCACGUCGGACGUGAAAAUCCAGGGCUCAACCCUGGACCUGACGUUCGAUACGGGCAGACUAGAGUUCGGUAGGGGAGACUGGAAUUCCUGGUGUAGCGGUGAAAUGCGCAGAUAUCAGGAGGAACACCGGUGGCGAAGGCGGAUCUCUGGGCCAUUACUGACGCUGAGGAGCGAAAGCGUGGGGAGCGAACAGG